rnacentral:ribozyme from 14 species
AAAGAAAAAAAAAAGAAAAAAAGGUUGAAAUGAACCCACACACCUCUAAGAAGGAAAAAUUUUUUUGUUGGUUUUAUUAUUUUUUUGCAU